ACUACGGGAGGCAGCAGUGAGGAAUAUUGGUCAAUGGACGCAAGUCUGAACCAGCCAUGCCGCGUGCAGGAAGACGGCUCUAUGAGUUGUAAACUGCUUUUGUACGAGGGUAAACGCAGAUACGCGUAUCUGUCUGAAAGUAUCGUACGAAUAAGGAUCGGCUAACUCCGUGCCAGCAGCCGCGGUAAUAAGGAGGAUUCAAUAGUUAUCCGGAUUUAUUGGGUUUCAAGGGUGCGUCGGCGGUCGGAUAAGUUAGAGGUGAAAUCCCGAGGCUCAACUUCGGAAUUGCCUCUGUUACUGUUCGGCUAGAGAGUAGUGGCGGUAGGCGGAAUGUAUGGUGUAGCUGUGAAAUGCUUAGAGAUCAUACAGAACACCGAUUGCGAAGGCAGCUUACCAAGCUACAUCUGACGCUGAUGCUCGAAAGCGCGGGUAUCGAACAGGAUUAGAUACCCGGGUAGUG
rnacentral:rRNA from 1 species